rnacentral:lncRNA from 1 species
UCUGAUAACAUCCCAUACAUGAUCAACAUUCAUAAAAAACUUUAAACUUUUUAUACACCAAGCUUGACCUGUGCAUGCACCAUAACUGUAAACAUAAAACCCCACACCAGAGCCCUCAUCAAAUGCUCUAGUGGGGCAACAUAUCAAAUGUCAAGCCUGGUUCAACAUAAUUCAUCAUUAAAAACAUUAACAUAAGAUCAUGUACAAAAGGGAUUAACCAUACAUUAGGG